GACGAACGCUGGCGGCGUGCCUAAUACAUGCAAGUAGAACGCACAGUUUAUACCGUAGCUUGCUACACCAUAAACUGUGAGUUGCGAACGGGUGAGUAACGCGUAGGUAACCUGCCUGGUAGCGGGGGAUAACUAUUGGAAACGAUAGCUAAUACCGCAUAAUAUUGAUUAUUGCAUGAUAAUUGAUUGAAAGAUGCUAUUGCAUCACUACCAGAUGGACCUGCGUUGUAUUAGCUAGUAGGUGAGGUAACGGCUCACCUAGGCGACGAUACAUAGCCGACCUGAGAGGGUGAUCGGCCACACUGGGACUGAGACACGGCCCAGACUCCUACGGGAGGCAGCAGUAGGGAAUCUUCGGCAAUGGACGAAAGUCUGACCGAGCAACGCCGCGUGAGUGAAGAAGGUUUUCGGAUCGUAAAGCUCUGUUGUAAGAGAAGAACGGGGGUGAGAGUGGAAAGUUCACACUGUGACGGUAUCUUACCAGAAAGGGACGGCUAACUACGUG
rnacentral:rRNA from 1 species